UACAGAGGGUGCGAGCGUUGUCCGGAAUCACUGGGCGUAAAGGGCGCGUAGGUGGUGGCUUAAGCGUGCGGUGAAAGCUCGGGGCUCAACCCCGAGUCGGCCGUGCGAACUGGGCUCACUGGAGCAUAGUAGAGGCAGGUGGAAUUCCGGGUGUAGCGGUGGAAUGCGUAGAGAUCAUGAGGAAGACCAGUGGCGAAGGCGGGUCUCUGGACAGUUCCUGACACUGAGGCACGAAGGCUAGGGGAGCGAACGGG
rnacentral:rRNA from 1 species